rnacentral:rRNA from 1 species
GUCCACGCCGUAAACGUUGGGCGCUAGGUGUGGGGAACCUUCCACGUUCUCCGUGCCGCAGCUAACGCAUUAAGCGCCCCGCCUUGGGAGUACGGCCGCAAGGCUAAAACUCAAAGGAAUUGACGGGGGCCCGCACAAGCGGCGGAGCAUGUGGCUUAAUUCGACGCAACGCGAAGAACCUUACCAAGGCUUGACAUAUACCGAAAACUCGUAGAGAUACGGGGUCCGCAAGGGCGGUAUACAGGUGGUGCAUGGUUGUCGU